CUGAAAUCACAGUAUUUAAUUGGUUUUCAUUUCACAGUGAAUACAUAAAAUACUGUAAAUGGAAAUGCGGUACCUCUACUGUAAACUACAAUUACAGUAGUAAGUGUUACCUUAGAAAUUACAGUAGUCAAAACACUACUGUAAACAAAUCACAAUAUAGCCACUAGUAGCCUAGGCUACUGUAAAUAGUUAAGUAAACUAGCCUACUGUGUUUUCCCUUUUUUAAUCUUAUAUUUCUUUUAACUCAUAAUGACAUACCAGAGACGGUUGAGAAAGUCAAUUUGAUGUCAAGAAUUAAGGCUUUGAUCACACUAUUGAGCAAGCAUAACACAUUUCAGCCUAAUAAUUUUCCACGAUUGUUUUUAACGGCUGCUUAUCGCCUCUUGAUAAGCGCAUGCGCACACGCAGUAAUUCCCAUCCCCCACCCCUGACUUUUCAACUCCAGCCAGAGUGACUUCACUUCAACCGUCACUUUUCAAUCAUGAAUCUGACUGCAAUUUUCAACUCUGUACAAACAUCAUAUUCAAGUAGGUGGUGUGAGGACUGCUGCCCUGAGAACGCUGUGUCAGAGACACUUAGGCUGUGUGCAUUUUGGAAUGUUCCAAAUGUGUGUCACUUCCAUAAGGAAGAAGUUCCAAGCCUGCAAGUGAGUUCACUCACCAAAUAGAGACACACGCAUAUAGCAUUUAAUAUGUGUGCAUGUACUGUAUUUGUGUCUGUAACUGUUUAGUUUAUCCCCUCCUUUCAUGUGUCUGUUAUGACUUUGUGGGCUCAACUGCCAACAACUGUCCAGGGCGAAGUCGGUCUACCCUGAUGGCACUACCUGAUGGCACUACCCUGAUGAUGUCUGUUAGCCAUGGCUGCUGCCCUCAACAUGGUGAGCCAUCCAGAAGUCCCAGCCUGGAGCCAGAGGCUGCUAUUGCAAGUCAGAUGGGAGAUGGCCUACAGUAUGUUAGGCAUCAGAAAAGUGGUGUUCGCAUGAAGGCAGAGUUGCCGCAGGCAAUUAUGAGAUUAGACACUUGACAUUUACUGCGAAAGGUACCAUCAGAGCACCUCUCCCUACCCUGCAGGAUACCUAUACCAGAAGAGUACAACAACGGCCCAAAAGUAUUUCAAAAGACAUUUCACGCUCUGACCACGGACUGUUUAAACCACUGAGGUCAAGCAGACGUCUCUGUUCCCACGUGGCAGACUGAGGGAACACCCACAAAACAGACUGGGGAUGAGUUUCUUUACUCCGCAUCCUGUACACACACAACUCCUUAUACUACAUUACAUAGACUUGCCAGUUGCCAUACUGCACUUACACACACUGCGCUUUUAACCCCCUUAUCUGUGUCAAAUCAGAUAAGGUUGUGGUUGUGUUCAAACCAUGUCUACUGUUGUCUGUCAACAUCCACUUCAGUCAUACAUUUGAAAUGUCUUAAAUAAAUAACAAAAGUUAAAAUUG